CGUCGCGUUAUUUUUGGCCUA
rnacentral:siRNA from 1 species